UACAGAGGGUGCUAGCGUUGUUCGGAAUUAUUGGGCGUAAAGCGCGUGUAGGCGGCCAGGCAAGUUGGGUGUGAAAGCCCUCGGCUUAACCGAGGAAGUGCGCCCAAAACUACUUGGCUUGAGUACCGGAGAGGAUGGUGGAAUUCCCGGUGUAGAGGUGAAAUUCGUAGAUAUCGGGAGGAACACCAGUGGCGAAGGCGACCAUCUGGACGGAUACUGACGCUGAGACGCGAAAGCGUGGGUAGCAAACAGGAUUAGAUACCCUGGUAGUCCACGCUGUAAACGAUGAGCGCUAGGUGUUGUGGGUGUUGACCCCUGCAGUGCCGCAGCUAACGCAUUAAGCGCUCCGCCUGGGAAGUACGGCCGCAAGGCUAAA
rnacentral:rRNA from 1 species